rnacentral:rRNA from 1 species
UACGUAGGGUCGCAAGCGUUUAUCCGGAAUUAUUGGGCGUAAAGAGCUCGUAGGCGGCUUGUCACGUCGGCUGUGAAAACCUGGGGCUCAACCCCGGGCCUGCAGCCGAUACGGGCAAGCUAGAAUUCGGUAGGGGAGACUGGAAUUCCUGGUGUAGCGGUGAAAUGCGCAGAUAUCAGGAGGAACACCGGUGGCGAAGGCGGGUCUCUAGUACGGGACUGACGCUGAGACGCGAAAGCGUGGGGAGCGAACAGG